UACGGAGGAUGCAAGCGUUAUCCGGAUUUAUUGGGCGUAAAGCGUCCGUAGGUGGUUAUUCAAGUCUGCUGUCAAAGCGCGAGGCUUAACUUCGUAAAGGCAGUGGAAACUGAAUGACUUGAGAAUGAUAGGGGCAGAGGGAAUUCCCAGUGUAGCGGUGAAAUGCGUAGAGAUUGGGAAGAACACCGGUGGCGAAAGCGCCCUGCUGGGUCAUAUCUGACACUGAGGGACGAAAGCUAGGGGAGCGAAAGGG
rnacentral:rRNA from 1 species